CCAAUGGCGUGCUCAGGGUCACAAAGCUCCUAAGUAUAUGAGAUGAGGAAUGACCCGCCCACACUCAGGUUUUCCCGCCUCCAAGUCCCACAUCACCACCGUACACUGACAAGAAUACCGGAUUUAAGUCAGAUGACCUGGGUUCAAAUCUCACCUCCGCCACUUACUAUCAUCAGUGGGACAUUGAGCAAGUCCUUUCGCCUCUUGAGGCCUUGGUCUCCUCAUCUAGAAGAGGAAGGGCUGGACUAGAUGUCUCUGAGGUUCUGUCCCACUCUAGAACCAUGACUUUAGGAUUCUUUCCUGUGUUGGGAUUUUGACCAAUAGAUCAUGGCAUCCUUUUCCAAGAGCCUCCUGUGAGAACUGGAUUUGAGUCGGAGGAAAGAGCACUGACUCCUCGUCAAAGGACCUGGGUUCAAAUCCAACCUCCCAAUACUUGAUCUUAGGUAAGUAGUUUAACCUUUCAGGCCCUCAGUUUCCUCAUUUUUCAAAAUAACAUUUUAUUGAUGUAUUUUAUUUCUUACAUAAUCAUAGUUAUCCCCAGGAUCCUUCCCCACCCCACCCCCAAGAGAACCAGCUUAUUUAAAUAACAAACAACUAUUUUUUAAAGAGGAAAAAAAAUGGGCACAACUGUUCAGUGCAUUGGAAAAGUCUGAAAACCUGUGCAACAUGCAGCAUCCUCAGAGCUCCCACCUUCACAGAGGAGGGGUUUGGAGUCCUCUGCUCUCUCCUACUUCAGUCCUGCUCCAGCGUCAGCACUUUACCACACUCACGGUGGAGUUUGGGUGGUUCUUUCCCUUUUCGUUGUAGUUACUGUGUGUUUUCUUGGCUCUGCGGACUUCACUGUGCAUCGGUUCCAUAUUUCUCGGUAUUUAUCACGUACAUAAUUUCUCACAGAACAAUGUUCUGUUACUUUCAUGUACCACAAUUUGUUUAGCCCUUCCUCAAUCAAUGGGCAUCUGCUUUGUUUCCAACUCUUUGUGAUCACAAAAAGGGCUGUGAUAACUGUUUUGGGAUGGGGAUAUUGAUGGCUUCCUUAGGGGAUGAGCCCAGUAAAUGGAGUCCCUGGUUCAAAAAGCAUGGCCAUUUCAUUUACUUGCAAAAUUCCAAAUUGCUAUCCAAAAUGGAUUACCAUUUCACAGCUCCAGCAACGUAUCAGUGUUAUGUGUCAUCCCACACCCCACCUCCAGCUGACUAUUACCAUCUUUUUAUCGUCUUUGCCAAUUUGCAGGGUGUGAUCGGUUUCCUCUUAUGUCAGAUGUGGGGAUCGAAUAGAGUCUGGCAGCUCUAAAUCCUGAAUGGGCACUGGCUGCUUCCCCUCUCCUGCAUCCAUGCACCCUUCUAGAUCCUCUAAGCUCAGCACCUCGGGGGACGGGGUCUGUGGGCUGAGCACCAGCCGCAGCUCAAGGCCGCGCUUUCGGCGGGGUACAGGGAGGGCCGGGGUCCAGCAUCUGACCUGGAGUUUCCGAUGGACCCCCGCCUCCUCCCUGGAGCAGAGCGGGGUGGAAGUGGGGGGAAGGGGCUAGAUCCGGGAAUGGGGGAGGGGAUGCGGUUUGGUGACUCAGGCCGCCCAGAGGCAGGGCGGGGACGAAGAGAACGAACUCCAGAUGUGCUUCCCUUCCCCCACAUCUGGCCAGGGAACGACCCAGCGUUUAGCUCCGGCCGCUCCUAUCCCUACCCCGAGGGCCGCCCCUGCCCCCCCCAAUCCCAGACCAUUCCCUCCCUCUCAGAGAGCGCCCCAGCCCCUCCUGUCCCGUCCAGCUCCCCUCCCCUUCUCCCCUAAACCGCCGGGGCUGCAGGAUGUUGGGGUGAGUCACGCUUCCUGAGCCCGCCCUGGGAGGCCCAGCCCGGGGACCGGCAGCCCCCCGCCUCACCCCGCUCCUGCCACCUCCCAGUGCGUCCAGCCCCCGGCCUCGGUACAGCCGGCCUGUCCGGGCACUGCCCUAGGCGCCGGUGGUGGGCGUGGGGCAGGGUUCAAGACAACCGCCUCCAGCUGCUAGUGCCUUCCUUAUUGAAGUCCGUCCUGGUGGCGCACAGUGGGUGCUUAAUAAAUGCGUGUUAACUGAAAAA